rnacentral:rRNA from 1 species
GAUGAACGCUGGCGGCGUGCCUAAUACAUGCAAGUCGAGCGAACAGACGAGGAGCUUGCUCCUCUGACGUUAGCGGCGGACGGGUGAGUAACACGUGGAUAACCUACCUAUAAGACUGGGAUAACUUCGGGAAACCGGAGCUAAUACCGGAUAAUAUAUUGAACCGGAUGGUUCAAUAGUGAAAGACGGUUUUGCUGUCACUUAUAGAUGGAUCCGCGCCGCAUUAGCUAGUUGGUAAGGUAAGGGCUUACCAAGGCAACGAUGCGUAGCCGACCUGAGAGGGUGGUCGGCCAGACUGGAACGAAGGCACGGUCCGGACUGCGACAGGAGGCAGCAGUAUGGAAGAGGCCGCAGUGGGGAAAAUCCUGACAGAGCAGCAACGCUUAAGUAGUGAAGGUCUUCGGAUCGUGAAGCUCUUUUAGUUGGGAAGAACAAAUGUGUAAGAAGCAGUGCUCGUCGUGACGGUACCGAAACAAGAAGCCACGGCUAACUACGUG